rnacentral:rRNA from 1 species
AUUGAACGCUGGCGGCAGGCCUAACACAUGCAAGUCGAACGGUAACAGGAAGCAGCUUGCUGCUUCGCUGACGAGUGGCGGACGGGUGAGUAAUGUCUGGGAAACUGCCUGAUGGAGGGGGAUAACUACUGGAAACGGUAGCUAAUACCGCAUAACGUCGCAAGACCAAAGAGGGGGACCUUAGGGCCUCUUGCCAUCGGAUGUGCCCAGAUGGGAUUAGCUAGUAGGUGGGGUAACGGCUCACCUAGGCGACGCUCCCUAGCUGGUCUGAGAGGAUGACCAGCCACACUGGAACUGAGACACGGUCCAGACUCCUACGGGAGGCAGCAGUGGGGAAUAUUGCACAAUGGGCGCAAGCCUGAUGCAGCCAUGCCGCGUGUAUGAAGAAGGCCUUCGGGUUGUAAAGUACUUUCAGCGGGGAGGAAGGGAGUAAAGUUAAGACCUUUGCUCAUUGACGUUACCCGCAGAAGAAGCACCGGCUAACUCCGUG